CCUACGGGAGGCAGCAGUGGGGGAUAGUGCACAAUGGGGGGAACCCUGAUGCAGCGACGCCGCGUGGGUGAAGAAGCGCCUCGGCGCGUAAAGCCCUGUCAGCAGGGAAGAAAAUGACGGUACCUGAAGAAGAAGCCCCGGCUAACUACGUGCCAGCAGCCGCGGUCAUACGGAGGGGGCAAGCGUUAUCCGGAUUUACUGGGUGUAAAGGGGGCGCAGACGGCGAUGCAAGCCAGGAGUGAAAGCCCGGGGCCCAACCCCGGGACUGCUCUUGGAACUGCGUGGCUGGAGUGCAGGAGGGGCAGGCGGAAUUCCUGGUGUAGCGGUGACAUGCGUCGAUAUCAGGAGGAACACCGGUGGCGACGGCGGCCUGCUGGACUGCAACUGACGUUGCGGCCCGACAGCGUGGGGAGCAAACAGGAUUAGAUACCCUUGUAGUC
rnacentral:rRNA from 1 species